GACCAGUGCUUCUCUACCCCAGCUCUCCACCAAGGUGUGAUAGGGAGAGUCAAGCCCAAAAUAUCAACCAAUCUCAGAAGAAAGCUGAAUCUCGGCAUCUGAGGGAAGCUUUUUUUGCAGAUGAAAAGGAUGUGUGAAUCAUCGACUGAACUGAGCAGAAGAAAACGUGCCUCGAGGGUCAAAAGCAGAAUUAUUGUCAUAGAAUCAGGACAAAAUGGGGGUCUAGGCAUUUCAGUAUUUAUUUCCUUAAAUAUUUUUGGAGUUCAA